AGAGUUUGAUUCUGGCUCAGAACGAACGCUGGCGGCGCGUUUUAAGCAUGCAGGUCGAGCGGCAAGGGUCUUCGGGCCCCUAGAGCGGCGGACGGGUGAGUAACACGUGGACAAUCUGCCCCCCGGCCGGGGAUAGCCCAGGGAAACCUGGAUUAAUACCGGAUGAGACGGGACCCGCGGAGGCGGGAUCCGGGAAAGGCGCUGCGGCGCCGCCGGGGGAUGAGUCUGCGUCCCAUUAGCUUGACGGCGGGGUAACGGCCCACCGUGGCGACGAUGGGUAGCCGGCCUGAGAGGGUGUACGGCCACAUUGGAACUGAGACACGGUCCAGACUCCUACGGGAGGCAGCAGCUAAGAAUCUUCCGCAAUGGGCGAAAGCCUGACGGAGCGACGCCGCGUGAACGAAGAAGGCCGUGAGGUUGUAAAGUUCUUUUCGGGAGGGGGAACAACCGUGGCAGGGAAUGGCCGCGGGAUGACGUGAAUCCCGGAAUAAGCCCCGGCUAACUACGUGCCAGCAGCCGCGGUAACACGUAGGGGGCGAGCGUUGUUCGGAAUCAUUGGGCGUAAAGGGCGUGCAGGCGGUCCUGCAAGUCCGGCGUGAAAGACCCAGGCCCAACCGGGGGGGCGCGCUGGGAACUGCAGGGCUUGAGUACAGGAGGGGAUGCCGGAAUUCCAGGUGUAGGGGUGAAAUCUGUAGAUAUCUGGAGGAACACCAAUGGCGAAGGCAGGCAUCUGGCCAUGUACUGACGCUGAGACGCGAAGGUGCGGGGAGCAAACAGGAUUAGAUACCCUGGUAGUC
rnacentral:rRNA from 1 species